rnacentral:rRNA from 1 species
GUGGAGAGUUUGAUCCUGGCUCAGGACGAACGCUGGCGGCGUGCUUAACACAUGCAAGUCGAACGAUGAAGCCUAGCUUGCUAGGUGGAUUAGUGGCGAACGGGUGAGUAAUACGUGAGUAACCUACCUUUAACUCUGGGAUAAGCCUGGGAAACUGGGUCUAAUACCGGAUAGGAGCCAUUUUUAGUGUGAUGGUUGGAAAGUUUUUUCGGUGUAGGAUGAGCUCGCGGCCUAUCAGCUUGUUGGUGGGGUAAUGGCCUACCAAGGCGGCGACGGGUAGCCGGCCUGAGAGGGUGGACGGCCACAUUGGGACUGAGAUACGGCCCAGACUCCUACGGGAGGCAGCAGUGGGGA